GUUGUUCUCUUGACAUAACUUCUCAUUGGUGAAAUUUGGAUGACCCCAAAGAGGCUCUGUUUUGUAUGCACCCUUGCAACCCCACAGUCCUAUUACAGCAUUUCAGAAACAGUUGGAUGAGAAUGGAUUAAUACUGCAAUCUGAAGAUCUUCAGAAGUGCAGGAAGCUGACUCAGGAGCUAUGCUCAUACAGAAACAGUUACAAUAUUUCUCAGCUUUGCAACCUCAAGACAAUGAAAAAUGACAUCUUACAUAUUUCUCGGAUGGACAGCUCCCUUAAUGUUAACUCCAUUAUUUGAGAAAAUUUAGGCUUAAGUAAGGAUUUUAGUAUGGAAUAUAAACUCGCAAUAAAAUUUGUUAUGGAAAAUAAAAUAAACUCA
ensembl:lncRNA